UGGGAGAAGUCCUGGGGAGGCGGACAAGGAGAAGGACCUGGGGGUUCUCAAAGAUCAAAGAUUCAGCAAUAGUAUGCAGUGCCAAGCAGCUGCCAGGAAGGCAA